rnacentral:rRNA from 1 species
GGAGGAAGGUGGGGAUGACGUCAAGUCAUCAUGGCCCUUACGGCCUGGGCUACACACGUGCUACAAUGGUCGGUACAAGGGUUGCCAAGCCGCGAGGUGGAGCUAAUCCCAUAAAACCGAUCGUAGUCCGGAUCGCAGUCUGCAACUCGACUGCGUGAAGUCGGAAUCGCUAGUAAUCGUGAAUCAGAAUGUCACGGUGAAUACGUUCCCGGGCCUU